UGGGGAAUUUUGGACAAUGGGCGAAAGCCUGAUCCAGCAAUGCCGCGUGUGUGAAGAAGGCCUUCGGGUUGUAAAGCACUUUUGUCCGGAAAGAAAUCCUUGGCUCUAAUACAGUCGGGGGAUGACGGUACCGGAAGAAUAAGCACCGGCUAACUACGUGCCAGCAGCCGCGGUAAUACGUAGGGUGCAAGCGUUAAUCGGAAUUACUGGGCGUAAAGCGUGCGCAGGCGGUUUGCUAAGACCGAUGUGAAAUCCCCGGGCUCAACCUGGGAACUGCAUUGGUGACUGGCAGGCUAGAGUAUGGCAGAGGGGGGUAGAAUUCCACGUGUAGCAGUGAAAUGCGUAGAGAUGUGGAGGAAUACCGAUGGCGAAGGCAGCCCCCUGGGCCAAUACUGACGCUCAUGCACGAAAGCGUGGGGAGCAAACAGGAUUAGAUACCCUGGUAGUCCACGCCCUAAAACGAUGUCAACUAGUUGUUGGGGAUUCAUUUCCUUAGUAACGUAGCUAACGCGUGAAGUUGACCGCCUGGGGAGUAGGUCGCAAGAUUAAAACUCAAAUGAAUUGACGGGGUCAUAGCUG
rnacentral:rRNA from 1 species